AGACCCGAAACCCGGUGAUCUAGCCAUGGGCAGGUUGAAGGUUGGGUAACACUAACUGGAGGACCGAACCGACUAAUGUUGAAAAAUUAGCGGAUGACCUGUGGCUGGGGGUGAAAGGCCAAUCAAACCGGGAGAUAGCUGGUUCUCCCCGAAAGCUAUUUAGGUAGCGCCUCGUGAAUUCAUCUCCGGGGGUAGAGCACUGUUUCGGCUAGGGGGCCAUCCCGGCUUACCAACCCGAUGCAAACUGCGAAUACCGGAGAAUGUUAUCACGGGAGACACACGGCGGGUGCUAACGUCCGUCGUGAAGAGGGAAACAACCCAGACCGCCAGCUAAGGUCCCAAAGUCAUGGUUAAGUGGGAAACGAUGUGGGAAGGCCCAGACAGCCAGGAUGUUGGCUUAGAAGCAGCCAUCAUUUAAAGAAAGCGUAAUAGCUCACUGGUCGAGUCGGCCUGCGCGGAAGAUGUAACGGGGCUAAACCAUGCACCGAAGCUGCGGCAGCGAACGUAUCACUUAAAGCGAUUCAGCGGGUUACGAUUGACGGAGCGAAGCG
rnacentral:rRNA from 2 species